AUAAUUCAUCGGCCUAGCUUGUAUUCAUCAACACAUAUUGUCCACCACAAAUAGGACUUGGCAGGUUCUCCCAUAAAACUCAAACGCUGAUAGCGAUCGAGGUGCAGUUGUUACAGAUAGAUCGUUGGUUGGCUUAUCAAAGGGGGUCACUUCUUUGAUAAUACUUGGUGUGCUUUGAAGAAGGACUUUUAAUUGGACUAAGAUAGUGCAUUCUAGGUGCAGACUUUCUCUGUACAUGUUUCGAUUUUUUGAGCAUAUAUCCCAAUACAGAAGUCUAAAUGACGUGAUUCUUGACCAUUGGAAAGCUAAGAGGUAGAGAUACAACUUUCAUGUUUACUAUUUUGCCAGUUCUGCCUUGAAGAAGGACAACAAUACAUCACAAAUCGAUGUUGUGGUAGUAGAAAGCUAGUGCCACAGCACUACGAGUUUGUAAAGACGUCUUUUAGAAGAUGGGAGUCUGAACUGGACCAAAAUUAUGUUUAUGAGCCCUAUGAAUGCAUCCUUAUGAAGCCAAAUUGAAGGGAGUUUAGAGUAUGCUAAAAUUGGGAUAGCAUAUGAUCAUAAUUAGUUGCUUCGAUGAAUAAAUUGAUUUGUGUAUAAGAUAAAGAUAUAUCUAUAUGUCGUAUAUAG